GACAACUUGGUUUCAUCCUGCUCAGAAACAGACAUCUCUCUGUAUCAGCAGCACUUGCCUCUUGCAUCACUGAGAAAGUUACCCUGGAUUUCAGCAGGAGGAAGGACAGAUCCACAGCCAGUUCUCCAUGUAGGAAGGUCACUCCCCACGAAUCAUGCUGCUUGAGACGUGACUACAGGACAGAUGAGGCCAAGGCACAGGGCAGAAAGAGGCCAUGAAGCAGAAAAGCCACCUCCUGAACCAUGGUAGCUCCAGAAUCUUCCUCCUCAUCCAAAGCAGAUGCUGGAAGGAGCACCAGGAAAAGAAACGUUGAUGCUUUUCAAAGUUCACUGAAUCGGUCACAGCUGUGAGUGUGGGAUCUACAUGGUAUGAGGUCAACUUUCUUUGCCCUUGAUUAUGUAUCUACUUGUCCAACACAGAAAUUGCCUGCUGGCAACAGUUCUCAUCCUGCAGAGGAAAGAGGAAACAGCAGGGGAGAAUAUCUUGGUGAGAGCAGUGGCAAAGCCUGCACUACUUGCUGAUGUAGACAUCCUUCAUGUGACUCACCUGAGCCUACCUGCAGAGCAGAGACCACCCAGGUGGGCUUUGUGAACCUGACUGGAAACUUCAGUCCAUCCAGGAACGUGAACUUCAAAGUGCAAACACAGAUGGGGCAGGCUCCUGGACACCUGAAGAUCAGUUACGUGGAUCUAAGGGUCACCCCAAUGUCGUCAGUGCCAUCAGCAAGAUUAAUAGUGCGAGGGAGAGGAGUGAUCCAGAUGCCUGAGUGCCUCAGCCAGCGCGGAGUAUUUGAAACAUCUGCACGGGGCUUGCAGCUACUGGACCUACGGGAGACCGCGCUCUUCUGGAGCAAGAGCUGGAAUGCAGGUGGGAGGUCCUACCCAUCUGUCCUCAGGCUUCUGGGCUUCACCCGAUAAACACUGAUAAAAUAUUUCCGGUAACAAGAAGGAAAAAAGGAAAUAUGCAUUUAUCUACAGUUUUUUGCAUUUACUUCACAUUUUUUCCAAGUGAAAUCCAUUUACAACCUCAGAAGCAGGUUAAUUGUACUAGUUUCUAUGUAGCAUAAGACACGUGAUUUUUAAUUUCUCCCAGGUAAUUAUCUUUUUUUUUUUAAUUGAUGGCUGUUCUGUAUGUAUGUAGAACUGUAUAAAAACGUAAGGUGGAAGAUAAUUCUUUAGUAGGAUCUGCUUUCUUUGAGGGGGGCUUAGAUUGGAUGACCUCCAGAGAUCCCUUCCAACAUAAAUUCGUUGAUUCAAUGCAAUAAAGAUGCAGUUUUUAAAAAUACCUUUCA
rnacentral:lncRNA from 1 species